rnacentral:rRNA from 1 species
AGUGAACGCUGGCGGUAGGCCUAACACAUGCAAGUCGAACGGCAGCACAGUAAGAGCUUGCUCUUACGGGUGGCGAGUGGCGGACGGGUGAGGAAUACAUCGGAAUCUACUUUUUCGUGGGGGAUAACGUAGGGAAACUUACGCUAAUACCGCAUACGACCUACGGGUGAAAGCAGGGGAUCUUCGGACCUUGCGCGAUUGAAUGAGCCGAUGUCGGAUUAGCUAGUUGGCGGGGUAAAGGCCCACCAAGGCGACGAUCCGUAGCUGGUCUGAGAGGAUGAUCAGCCACACUGGAACUGAGACACGGUCCAGACUCCUACGGGAGGCAGCAGUGGGGAAUAUUGGACAAUGGGCGCAAGCCUGAUCCAGCCAUACCGCGUGGGUGAAGAAGGCCUUCGGGUUGUAAAGCCCUUUUGUUGGGGAAGAAAAGCAGCAGGUUAAUACCCCGCUGUCCUGACGGUACCCAAAGAAUAAGCACCGGCUAACUUCGUG